rnacentral:rRNA from 1 species
GAUGAACGCUGGCGGCGUGCCUAAUACAUGCAAGUCGAGCGAACAGACGAGGAGCUUGCUCCUCUGACGUUAGCGGCGGACGGGUGAGUAACACGUGGAUAACCUACCUAUAAGACGGGGAUAACUUCGGGAAACCGGAGCUAAUACCGGAUAAUAUAUUGAACCGCAUGGUUCAAUAGUGAAAGACGGUUUUGCUGUCACUUAUAGAUGGAUCCGCGCCGCAUUAGCUAGUUGGUAAGGUAACGGCUUACCAAGGCAACGAUGCGUAGCCGACCUGAGAGGGUGAUCGGCCACACUGGAACUGAGACACGGUCCAGACUCCUACGGGAGGCAGCAGUAGGGAAUCUUCCGCAAUGGGCGAAAGCUUGACGGAGCAACGCCGCGUGAGUGAUGAAGGUCUUCGGAUCGUAAAACUCUGUUAUUAGGGAAGAACAAAUGUGUAAGUAACUAUGCACGUCUUGACGGUACCUAAUCAGAAAGCCACGGCUAACUACGUG